UAAGUUCUAGUUAAAUCUAAAAACAUGAAAAAAAAAAACCCUAAAUCUGAAUCAUAGUAACUCCUAUGCCGCAGACUCCAGACUCACAGACUAACAUCACAGAUUCAUCAUUCACGAAUCACGGCCUCAAUGCUCACUGCUCACCUCAUGGCUCACGGGCUUAGUGGCUCACACGAAAAGUUUUGACAUUUUGCACUGUAAACGGUACGUCGGUAAUGAGUUUUCCUUUUCCCUCUUCGGCGAAUCGGCUCUUCCCCCGUUCCCCGUUCCCCCAUUUUUGUUAUUUUUGGCUUCUCAUUUUCCCAGUUCACACUUCACAAUUCACACACGGACCAGCGUCUGCAUCACCACUCACAAGACCUGCACUUCUAUUUAAUCUUAUUAAUUUCAGCCGUAGUAGUGAUUGUGAAUCUCAGAAUCAGAUCAGCCGAUUCAGCCCCUUUUCUCAGUCAAAUUAUUUCGGUUUCUCUCUCAGACUCUCCUUCUCAUCGAGGAUCUUUGGGAUUCUCUAUUUUCUGGUAGAAUUAGUGUUGAAAUUCCUAGAGAUCUCUUCUACGCGUUGCUAAAUGGAACAAGAUGAAUGAGGCAGCAGUAGGAAAUGAAGAUUUGAUUGACUUGGAAGGACUAGACUCGGAAAGUUUCGCAAAUGAAGACACUAAAACAAAACAAAGGAAAAGGUCAAAUGUGUGGAGCUUCUUUGAGAUGGUUCCCGAUUCUAAUAAAGUUGGUGAUUGUAAGGCACGAGCCUAGUGCAAGAUGUGUGGUGAUUGUUGAUUUUCAUGGUUGAUUUUUCAAAAAUGUCAGAUGAAUGAGGCAACAGUAGGAAAUGAAGAUUUGAUUGACUUGGAAGGGCUAGAUUCGGAAAGUUUCACAAGUGCAAGAUGUGUGGAGCUACUUAUUUGGCAGUGAGUAGAUAUGGAACUGGAAAUUUGAAGCGUCACAUUGAUACAUGCCCUAAAAGAAAUAUACGAGAUAUUGGUCAGUUGAUGUUGGGGCAGCAUAGUGGAUCUAUUUCAGUAUGCACUUCUAAAUUUGAUCCUGAACAAUAUAGAUAACUUUUGGUAGAAGCUAUUGUGAAGCAUGAUUUACCUUUCCAAUUUGUUGAAUAUUCGAGGGUGAGAACUUUUAUGCAAUAUGCGUGUCCAGAUAUUCCAAUUAUUUCUAGAAAUAUUGCUAAGGUUGAUUUGGUUAAGAUAUAUUAUCGGGAAAAAAAAGGAUUAAAUACAUGUUAAGUGAUGCUCCUGGUAGAAUUUGUCUGACAUCUGACUUGUGGACUUUUAUGAGUACUAAUGGUUAUAUGUGCAUUACAACAUAUUUUCUAGAUAAGAAAUGGGUUCUAAAGAAAAAUGUUUUAAAUUUUUCUUUUAUGCCACUAUCACAUAAUGACAUAUCUUUGUCUGAGAAAAUUUAUAAUUUGUUAUGUGAGCGGGGAAUUCAAGACAAGAUUUGUGCUUUAACUUUAGACAAUGCUUCUUCUAAUGAUGUGUUGGUAGAGUUUUAAGAACUCAGUUGAACAUUAAGAGAGCCCUUGUUUGUGAUGGUGAGUUUUUUCAUCUUCGUUGUUGUUGUCAUGUUCUCAAUUUGGUUGUACAAGAUGGGUUGAAAGCAAUUAAUUGUGCUAUCUAAAAAGUUUAUGACCGUAUCAAGUAUGUCAAAAGAUCACAAUCAAGGAAACAAAAAUUUUUAGAUUCAAUAAAACAAAUGUCUUUGGAUGGUAAGAAAGGGUUGAGACAGGAUGUCCCCACUAGAUGGAAUUCAACUUUUCUUAUACUUGAGAGUGCUCUUUUCUAUCGUCGUUCCUUUUGCCAUUUGGAAUUGACUGAUUCCAAUUUUAAACACUGUCUAUCAACAUCUGAGUGAGAAAAAGUGGAGAAGAUUAACACUUUCUUGGAAGCUUUUUAUGAUGCCACUUGUGAGUUUUUUGGAACCAAAUACCUGGCCUACAGCCAAUUUGUACUUUUCAUUAAUGUUUAUAAUUUAUUUAACAUUAAAACAACACUCUAAAAAUGAAGAUGACUACAUAAAGAAUAUGUCUUGUCAAAUGCUUGUGAAGUUUGAGAAAUAUUGGUCUGAGUUCAAUGUGCUAUUGAUGAUAGCAGUUAUAUUGGAUACUCGAUACAAGCUUCAUUUUGUUGACUUUUCUUAUACGAAACUUUAUGGAAAUGGUUCCCAGGAGUUUUUAAAUGUUCGUAUCAAAAUGGCAUCUCUUUUCAUAGAAUAUAGUUUUUCUAGUGCUCCCACAAGUUCUACCACGAUUUUUGAAAGAAGUGCUAGUAGAACGGAAAGUGAAUCUUCUUCUGGUAGAUGGAAUAGAGUCAAUAAACAAGUAUUUCAGGAAUACAAGAAAUGAACGAGUUAACUGAAGAUAUAAUGGAGUUGGAGACCAAAAAGAUCAAUGAGGACGCCACACUUCCUCCAGUCCCUUCUGUGGGUUCAUAAUUUAUUUAGAUUGGUGUGUGUAUCAUCGUAUUUGGAAUUGUAACAUUAAUAUUUACAAUGUGUGUUUAUCAUAUUUGGUACCCUUGGAUAUAAUGUAAUAAGAAUAGUUGGAGUUGGGUAGGUGUUCUAAUUAUGCAUUGCAGCACUAUGCAUUAUGUUGUGAGUUUGUUAUUUUGUUUAUCAUAUAUAGUAUUGUUGGGAUUUUAAUUUCGAUAUAUUUAUUUUUUGGAUUGUAA